CGCUGCGGCGUUGGAGCGUGUGGAGAGGCAACGGGAGCGCUGGGAGAGACGCCAGCGGAGGAAGAGGAUACGCCAGCGUUCCAUCAGCAGGGAGAAGUGGGUGGAAACGCUGGUGGUGGCAGAUUCCAAGAUGGUGGAGUACCACGGCACCAAGGGCGUGGAGAGCUACGUACUGGCUGUCAUGAACAUCGUGUCGGGGUUGUUUCAUGAUGCCAGCAUUGGAAACCCUAUCAACAUCGUAGUGGUUCGUCUGAUCCUGCUGGAGAAGGAAGAGGAAGACCUGAAGAUCACCACCA